GAUGAAGAACGUAGCGAAAUGCGAUACGUAAUGUGAAUUGCAGAAUUCAGUGAAUCAUCGAGUCUUUGAACGCACAUUGCGCCCUCUGGUAUUCCGGAGGGCAUGCCUGUCCGAGCGUCAUUGCUGCCCUCAAGCACGGCUUGUGUGUUGGGCCCCGUCCUCCUUCCGGGGGACGGGUCCGAAAGGCAGCGGCGGCACCGCGUCCGGUCCUCAAGCGUAUGGGGCUUUGUCGCUCGCUUUGUAGGCCUGGCCGGCGCUUGCCGAUCAACCAAACUUUUUAUCAGGUUGACCUCGGAUCAGGUAGGGAUACCCGCUGAACUUAAGCAUAUCAAUAAGCGGAGGA
rnacentral:misc_RNA from 1 species